GAUGAACGCUAGCGGGAGGCCUAACACAUGCAAGCCGAGCGGUAUUUGUUCUUCGGAACAGAGAGAGCGGCGCACGGGUGCGGAACACGUGUGCAACCUGCCUUUAUCUGGGGGAUAGCCUUUCGAAAGGAAGAUUAAUACCCCAUAAUAUAUUGAGUGGCAUCACUUGAUAUUGAAAACUCCGGUGGAUAGAGAUGGGCACGCGCAAGAUUAGAUAGUUGGUGAGGUAACGGCUCACCAAGUCAAUGAUCUUUAGGGGGCCUGAGAGGGUGAUCCCCCACACUGGUACUGAGACACGGACCAGACUCCUACGGGAGGCAGCAGUGAGGUAUAUUGGACAAUGGGUUAGCGCCUGAUCCAGCCAUCCCGCGUGAAGGACGACGGCCCUAUGGGUUGUAAACUUCUUUUGUAUAGGGAUAAACCUACUCUCGUGAGAGUAGCUGAAGGUACUAUACGAAUAAGCACCGGCUAACUCCGUG
rnacentral:rRNA from 1 species